rnacentral:rRNA from 1 species
UACAGAGGUCUCAAGCGUUGUUCGGAUUCAUUGGGCGUAAAGGGUGCGUAGGCGGCGCGGUAAGUCGGAUGUGAAAUCUCGGAGCUUAACUUCGAAACUGCAUUCGAUACUGCCGUGCUUGAGGACUGGAGAGGAGACUGGAAUUUACGGUGUAGCGGUGAAAUGCGUAGAUAUCGUAAGGAAGACCAGUGGCGAAGGCGGCCUACUGGGCUGCACCUGACGCUGAGCCGCGAAAGCCAGGGGAGCGAACGGG